rnacentral:rRNA from 1 species
AGAGCGAACGCUGGCGGCAGGCCUAACACAUGCAAGUCGAGCGGCCGUAGCAAUACGGCAGCGGCAGACGGGAGAGUAACACGUGGGAACGCGCCCUUCGGUUCGGGAUAACUCAGGGAAACUUGGGCUAAUACCGGAUACGCCCUUACGGGGAAAGAUUUAUUGCCGAAGGAACGGCCCGCGUCCGAUUAGCUUGUUGGUGAGGUAACGGCUCACCAAGGCGACGAUCGGUAGCUGGUCUGAGAGGAUGACCAGCCUCACUGGGACUGAGACACGGCCCAGACUCCUACGGGAGGCAGCAGUGGGGAAUAUUGGACAAUGGGCGCAAGCCUGAUCCAGCCAUGCCGCGUGGGUGAUGAAGGCCCUAGGGUUGUAAAGCCCUUUCAGCGGGGAAGAUAAUGACGGUACCCGCAGAAGAAGCCCCGGCUAACUUCGCGCCAGCAGCCGC